rnacentral:lncRNA from 1 species
CUGCCGCACGGCCGGCAUGGCAGCCGGGGCCCCCAGCUCGCAUGCAUGCCGGUCGCGUGUUGUAGGGCCAUUGACCGUGUCCUCUCCAAAGCUGUAAGACGUGGGCCAGUUAAGAUAGCUGAAGGGCGUGCUCCUGCUGUGUUUGGGACCCUUCGAGGUGAUAGGGAUCCGGUGGCUAGGGAUGGAGGGGCCGGCAUUUGCUCCAUCCCCGUGGCCUCCGUGGAUGAUGAAUGCUCCCAAUACUGUGUUGGUGGCGCGAGGAGAGGUUUGGCUAGGCGAAUGGAGGAGCAUAGGCAUAACAUACAGACUGGUAAGUUAGUC